rnacentral:rRNA from 1 species
CAGCAGCCGCGGUAAUACGGAGGAUCCAAGCGUUAUCCGGAUUUAUUGGGUUUAAAGGGUGCGUAGGUGGCCUGUUAAGUCAGGGGUGAAAGACGGUAGCUCAACUAUCGCAGUGCCCUUGAUACUGAUGGGCUUGAAUGAACUAGAGGUAGGCGGAAUGUGACAAGUAGCGGUGAAAUGCAUAGAUAUGUCACAGAACACCAAUUGCGAAGGCAGCUUACUAUGGUUUGAUUGACACUGAGGCACGAAAGCGUGGGGAUCAAACAGGAUUAGAUACCCGCGUAGUCCCUGUCUCUUAUAA